CCCACUUCGGUGGGGGAUGAGUGGCGAACGGGUGAGUAACACGUGGGUAAUCUGCCCUGCACUCUGGGAUAAGCCUUGGAAACGAGGUCUAAUACCGGAUAUCACAAUCUCUCGCAUGGGGGGUUGUUGAAAGUUCUGGCGGUGCAGGAUGAACCCGCGGCCUAUCAGCUUGUUGGUGGGGUAGUGGCCUACCAAGGCGACGACGGGUAGCCGGCCUGAGAGGGUGACCGGCCACACUGGGACUGAGACACGGCCCAGACUCCUACGGGAGGCAGCAGUGGGGAAUAUUGCACAAUGGGCGCAAGCCUGAUGCAGCGACGCCGCGUGAGGGAUGACGGCCUUCGGGUUGUAAACCUCUUUCGCCAGGGACGAAGCGCAAGUGACGGUACCUGGAUAAGAAGCACCGGCUAACUACGUGCCAGCAGCCGCGGUAAUACGUAGGGUGCGAGCGUUGUCCGGAUUUAUUGGGCGUAAAGAGCUCGUAGGCGGUUUGUCGCGUCGGCCGUGAAAUCUCCACGCUUAACGUGGAGCGUGCGGUCGAUACGGGCAGACUUGAGUUCGGUAGGGGAGACUGGAAUUCCUGGUGUAGCGGUGAAAUGCGCAGAUAUCAGGAGGAACACCGGUGGCGAAGGCGGGUCUCUGGGCCGAUACUGACGCUGAGGAGCGAAAGCGUGGGGAGCGAACAGGAUUAGAUACCCUGGUAGUCCACGCUGU
rnacentral:rRNA from 1 species